rnacentral:rRNA from 1 species
AUUGAACGCUGGCGGCAGGCUUAACACAUGCAAGUCGAGCGGAGAGAGGUAGCUUGCUACUGAUCUUAGCGGCGGACGGGUGAGUAAUGCUUAGGAAUCUGCCUAUUAGUGGGGGACAACAUUUCGAAAGGAAUGCUAAUACCGCAUACGUCCUACGGGAGAAAGCAGGGGAUCUUCGGACCUUGCGCUAAUAGAUGAGCCUAAGUCGGAUUAGCUAGUUGGUGGGGUAAAGGCCUACCAAGGCGACGAUCUGUAGCGGGUCUGAGAGGAUGAUCCGCCACACUGGGACUGAGACACGGCCCAGACUCCUACGGGAGGCAGCAGUGGGGAAUAUUGGACAAUGGGCGCAAGCCUGAUCCAGCCAUACCGCGUGUGUGAAGAAGGCUUUCGGGUUGUAAAGCACUUUAAGUGAGGAAGAAAAGAUAAUAGUUAAUACCUGUUAUCCGUGACAUUACUCACAGAAUAAGGACCGGCUAAUUCCGUGCCAGCCGCCGCCGUAAGAC